rnacentral:rRNA from 1 species
GACGAACGCUGGCGGCGUGCCUAAUACAUGCAAGUAGAACGCUGAAGGAGGAGCUUGCUUCUCCGGAUGAGUUGCGAACGGGUGAGUAACGCGUAGGUAACCUGCCUGGUAGCGGGGGAUAACUAUUGGAAACGAUAGCUAAUACCGCAUAACAGUAGAUAUUGCAUGAUAUCUGCUUGAAAGGUGCAAUUGCAUCACUACCAGAUGGACCUGCGUUGUAUUAGCUAGUUGGUGAGGUAACGGCUCACCAAGGCGACGAUACAUAGCCGACCUGAGAGGGCGAUCGGCCACACUGGGACUGAGACACGGCCCAGACUCCUACGGGAGGCAGCAGUAGGGAAUCUUCGGCAAUGGACGGAAGUCUGACCGAGCAACGCCGCGUGAGUGAAGAAGGUUUUCGGAUCGUAAAGCUCUGUUGUAAGAGAAGAACGAGUGUGAGAGUGGAAAGUUCACACUGUGACGGUAUCUUACCAGAAAGGGACGGCUAACUACGUG